CAGUGGCGCGAAGCUACCGUGCGUUGGAUUAUGACUGAACGCCUCUAAGUCAGAAUCCGGGGCUAGACCGACGCAUUGCGCUCGGUCGCCCGUUUGCGCGACGCCGCAGUAGGGGCCAUUUGGCCCCAAGGGCACGUGUCGUUGGCUAAGCCGUCGUGGCGGAAGGGUCACGGUGGCCGCCUUGAAUUACAAUUCCGAUCGAGCGGCGAGCUGAAUCCUUUGCAGACGACUUAAAUACGCGACGGGGUAUUGUAAGGGGUAGAGUGGCCUUGCUGCCACGAUCCUCUGAGAUUCAGCCCUUUGUCGCUCCGAUUCGU
rnacentral:ncRNA from 1 species